GGGGUCCCCGACUGGCUGCGGGGACUGGAGUUGCGGAAAGUUAAGUAGGGCCCAGCUGAGGAUGGCUCCUGCAGCGAACGCGCUCAGCCGGGCUCCUGGCUACGCGGCGACGGCUGGGUGACUGCGCCCCACAGUGCGGGCCAGGGCCGGGGCGUCCCGGCAGGGAGGCGACCGUCCCCUGAGGCCCUCAGCCCCUGCCGCGGCAGCGCCUAAUGAAGCGCGGAAAGGAGAGCCCAGAUGGCAGCGACGGGGGCCGAGAGAGCAGGAAUUUGUUAAAAGACGAUGCGAGGGGAGAGCCUGCUUUCCGAGUGAGGGCCAGCGCUGGGGAGCAGAGACGGUGGCUUCUGUCCCUGCCCUCCUCGUUAUGAACCAAAAAUAAAAUUCUAAGCCCUGCAGCCAACGGAUGGACCCUCCCCUCCGCCUGUGGCCUUCUAAGUUAUCUUGAAAAACUAGUUCAGGCCUUGAUGGGAAGCGGAAGUCAAACAUGGCCUCACAAACAUCCGCACGGAGACCCUAAGACUAAUAGAGGACUCUGAUAAGAAACAUUUGCAGUGUAUUCCCGGCUUCAUCUGCAUGAUAACACCUUGGUCUCCACAACUCCUUCAUGCAACCCGGACAUUCCCUUCUACUGAGUCCAGGUCUUUAGAUGAUAACUCUCAACCAGUUGCCAAUCAGAAAACCUUUAAAUGUACCUAUGACCCGGACGCCUCCACUUCACAUUUUACCUCCUAAAGAGCCAACCUACAUCUUACGUAUUGAUUGAUGUCUCAUGUCUCCCUCAAAUGUAUAAAACCAAGAUGUUUCCUGGCCACCCUGGGCACAUGUCAUCAGAACCUCCUGAGGUUGUGUCAAUGCACGUCCUUAACCUUGGCAAAAUAAACUUCCUAAAUUGAGACCACUCUCAGAAACUUUUGGUUUUCACCAUCAUCUUCCUGUUGCCGUGGCUGACCCCUGGCUCUCGUGCCUUGGAUCGUGUUCUUCCCGCCUGCCCCAGUGUUUUGCAACUGCUGUUAACUUCCGCAAUGCCUUGCUGGAUUCGCAUUCAGACAGGCCUAAUCUCUUUAGCGAAGGAAACACCACCCCUCGCUUGGCUGUACUUUUCCCUUUGACAACAAAACUGUUCAGGGAGGCUGAGCUCCUCAUCUCUUGUCACUCCCUCCAGUCCAGUUUGUCUGGUUUUCAUCAAGUUCUGCUGCACUGCCCUCAACCAUGGGAGGUCCUUUUGUGGAAGUCACUUAUAACCUAUGUGCUGCCAGAUCCAAUGGUCAUUUUCUACUUUCAUUCUAUUUGAGCUCUUAGCAGCACUUGAUGCAGCUGGCCGUCCCCCUCCUCCUUUGCUCCGGAGGUGCCACAUCACUGCCUUACCCUCCAGUUCUCUGGCCACCCUGGCUGCUCACUCUGUCAGCUUGGCAGUUCGCCCUCUUCUAGAUUUAUAAACAUUUGAGUAUCGCAAGGCUCAGCAUUGGCCUUCUUCUCUAUCUAGACUUCCCAUAGAUAGUCACAUGCAGCCUGUGGACGACUAUCAUGCAGAUGCUUACAGGUGCCAAAUCUGCAACCUCAUUUCUCUAUUUCUGCUCCUCCCCUGAACUCCAGACUCACCACCACCACCACCUGCAGACGCUUAUGGGUGCCACAUCUGCAACUUAAUUUCUCUCUUUCUGCCCCUCCACUGAACUCCAAACUCACCACCGCCACCUUGGCUUCUCUAUUUGUUGUCUAACUCAGUGCUGCGCAACUCUGUGCAUCAGGGCACACAUGGAGAUGCACAUAGCAUACAUUGGUCUUGCAUUCCCCACUCCAUACACACAUUUCAACACCGGUAAUAGGAUAAUUGUUGGCCAGGCUGCAGUCAUGAUAUGCUUGCCAUUGUCUUGCAUUCACAUCCAA
rnacentral:lncRNA from 1 species